AGCUUCUUAGUAUAAUUUUAGUAUUUCUGUUUGUGGCACAGAUGGUUGAUGAAGCUU
rnacentral:tRNA from 1 species